rnacentral:lncRNA from 1 species
AUUAUGUAAUUAGAGUACUGAGUGAUUGAAUUAUAUGAGAAGUUAUUAGAAGAUUGAUUGUAGAUGGAAGAUUAUGAUUGUUUUUUAUUGAGAGUUGUGUGUGUUUUGAUAGUGGAAGUCUGUGGUUACAGAAAUUAUAUGAAUUCAGAUUUGUUGGAAUGAAGUCUGCUAUUUCUAGUGUUGGAUGGAAAUUAUGUCUUGUGAGAGUGCUGAGUUGCACAUUAUUGUUAUCAGAUGAUGAAGGAGUGUUGUUUCUGGAAGAAAGCAUUAUAAUAUUUUUUGAUAUUUUAGUGAUUCAGAUUACGAUUAAUUAAGUGAUCCUAACAUGUA